rnacentral:rRNA from 2 species
CAGGACGAACGCUGGCGGCGUGCCUAAUACAUGCAAGUCGAACGAACUCUGGUAUUGAUUGGUGCUUGCAUCAUGAUUUACAUUUGAGUGAGUGGCGAACUGGUGAGUAACACGUGGGAAACCUGCCCAGAAAGCGGGGGAUAACACCUGGAAACAGAUGCUAAUACCGCAUAACAACUUGGACCGCAUGGUCCGAGUUUGAAAGAUGGCUUCGGCUAUCACUUUUGGAUGGUCCCGCGGCGUAUUAGCUAGAUGGUGGGGUAACGGCUCACCAUGGCAAUGAUACGUAGCCGACCUGAGAGGGUAAUCGGCCACAUUGGGACUGAGACACGGCCCAAACUCCUACGGGAGGCAGCAGUAGGGAAUCUUCCACAAUGGACGAAAGUCUGAUGGAGCAACGCCGCGUGAGUGAAGAAGGGUUUCGGCUCGUAAAACUCUGUUGUUAAAGAAGAACAUAUCUGAGAGUAACUGUUCAGGUAUUGACGGUAUUUAACCAGAAAGCCACGGCUAACUACGUGCCAGCAGCCGCGGUAAUACGUAGGUGGCAAGCGUUGUCCGGAUUUAUUGGGCGUAAAGCGAGCGCAGGCGGUUUUUUAAGUCUGAUGUGAAAGCCUUCGGCUCAACCGACGAAGUGCAUCGGAAACUGGGAAACUUGAGUGCAGAAGAGGACAGUGGAACUCCAUGUGUAGCGGUGAAAUGCGUAGAUAUAUGGAAGAACACCAGUGGCGAAGGCGGCUGUCUGGUCUGUAACUGACGCUGAGGCUCGAAAGUAUGGGUAGCAAACAGGAUUAGAUACCCUGGUAGUCCAUACCGUAAACGAUGAAUGCUAAGUGUUGGAGGGUUUCCGCCCUUCAGUGCUGCAGCUAACGCAUUAAGCAUUCCGCCUGGGGAGUACGGCCGCAAGGCUGAAACUCAAAGGAAAUUGACGGGGGCCCGCACAAGCGGUGGAGCAUGUGGUUUAAUUCGAAGCUACGCGAAGAACCUUACCAGGUCUUGACAUACUAUGCAAAUCUAAGAGAUUAGACGUUCCCUUCGGGGACAUGGAUACAGGUGGUGCAUGGUUGUCGUCAGCUCGUGUCGUGAGAUGUUGGGUUAAGUCCCGCAACGAGCGCAACCCUUAUUAUCAGUUGCCAGCAUUAAGUUGGGCACUCUGGUGAGACUGCCGGUGACAAACCGGAGGAAGGUGGGGAUGACGUCAAAUCAUCAUGCCCCUUAUGACCUGGGCUACACACGUGCUACAAUGGAUGGUACAACGAGUUGCGAACUCGCGAGAGUAAGCUAAUCUCUUAAAGCCAUUCUCAGUUCGGAUUGUAGGCUGCAACUCGCCUACAUGAAGUCGGAAUCGCUAGUAAUCGCGGAUCAGCAUGCCGCG